UUGUAAUUUGGAGAGGGCAACUUUGGGGCCGUUCCUUGUCUAUGUUCCUUGGAACAGGACGUCAUAGAGGGUGAGAAUCCCGUGUGGCGAGGAGUGCGGUUCUUUGUAAAGUGCCUUCGAAGAGUCGAGUUGUUUGGGAAUGCAGCUCUAAGUGGGUGGUAAAUUCCAUCUAAAGCUAAAUAUUGGCGAGAGACCGAUAGCGAACAAGUACAGUGAUGGAAAGAUGAAAAGAACUUUGAAAAGAGAGUGAAAAAGUACGUGAAAUUGUUGAAAGGGAAGGGCAUUUGAUCAGACAUGGUGUUUUGUGCCCUCUGCUCCUUGUGG
rnacentral:rRNA from 1 species